rnacentral:rRNA from 1 species
CGAGGGAUCAGACCCGAAACCGAGUGAUCUAGGCAUGUCCAGGAUGAAGGUAAGGUAACACUUACUGGAGGUCCGAACCCACAUCUGUUGAAAAAGAUCGGGAUGAGGUGUGCCUAGGGGUGAAAGGCCAAUCAAACUCGGAGAUAGCUGGUUCUCUGCGAAAUCUAUUUAGGUAGAGCGUCGAUCGAAUACUCUUGGGGGUAGAGCACUGACUGGGCUAGGGGUCCUCACCGGAUUACCAAACCUUAUCAAACUCCGAAUACCAAGAAGUACUAAUCGGCAGACACACAGCGGGUGCUAACGUCCGUCGUGGAGAGGGAAACAACCCUGACCACCAAUUAAGGUCCCCAAAUAAUGGCUAAGUGUGAAAGGAUGUGGGAUUGCUUUGACAAUGAGGAGGUUGGCUUAGAAGCAGCCAUCCUUUAAAGA